CCUACGGGAGGCAGCAGUGAGGAAUAGUGGUCAAUGGGCGGAAGCCUGAACCAGCCAAGUAGCGUGCAGGAUGACGGCCCUACGGGUUGUAAACUGCUUUUAUACGGGAAUAACGCGCCUUACGUGUAGGGCGUUGCAUGUACCGUAUGAAUAAGGACCGGCUAAUUCCGUGCCAGCGGCCGCGGUAAUACGGAAGGUCCGGGCGUUAUCCGGAUUUAUUGGGUUUAAAGGGAGCGUAGGCCGCAUGUCAAGCGUGCUGUGAAAUGUCCGGGCUCACCCCGGGCCUUGCAGCGCGAACUGGCGUGCUUGUGUCCGCGUGAAGCAGGCGGCAUUCGUCUUGUAGCGGU
rnacentral:rRNA from 1 species